GUGUCAGCAGCCGCGGUAAGACGAACCGUGCGAACGUUGUUCGGAAUCACUGGGCUUAAAGGGCGCGUAGGUGGUCUGUCAAGUCGGGGGUGAAAUCUUUCGGCUCAACCGGAAAACUGCCUUCGAUACUGACAGGCUCGAGGGAGGUAGGGGUUGCGGGAACUACCAGUGGAGCGGUGAAAUGCGUUGAUAUUGGUAGGAACGCCGGUGGCGAAAGCGCGCAACUGGACCUCUUCUGACACUGAGGCGCGAAAGCUAGGGGAGCAAACGGGAUUAGAAACCCCGGUAGUCC
rnacentral:rRNA from 1 species